GGGAGCUGCACGAGGCGCCUGAGGUGGGAGCAACGCCGUCAAGAGAAGGAGGAGGAGCGCAGAUGAUAUGGAAAGAUUCUGUGAAGCCUUUCCUGAAAAGGAAGACUAUAACUCCAGACCCUGUCCCCUGCUGUUGUAAUCCAGUUCUCCUGUGCUAAUAUUGAAGCAGUGAAGAAUUAUUCCCAGUUCUCAUGUCAGUGAUAAAAGGACCCUCUUUGUAAAAGAGAAGAUUAGGACCAUCUGCCUCUUCUGCCUCUUCCUCCUCCUCUCCUCCUCCUCCUCCUCCUCCUUACAAAGAAACGAGUAGGUGGAUCUCCAGCAGCAGUUCUGGAAAAAAAUCAGAGCGGGCCAGGAAUCGGAGAAAACCAUGGUGAA